rnacentral:rRNA from 1 species
UACGUAGGGGGCUAGCGUUGUCCGGAAUCAUUGGGCGUAAAGCGCGUGUAGGCGGCCCGGUAAGUCCGCUGUGAAAGUCGGGGGCUCAACCCUCGGAUGCCGGUGGAUACUGUCGGGCUCGAGUACGGAAGAGGCGAGUGGAAUUCCUGGUGUAGCGGUGAAAUGCGCAGAUAUCAGGAGGAACACCAAUUGCGAAGGCAGCUCGCUGGGACGUUACUGACGCUGAGACGCGAAAGCGUGGGGAGCGAACAGG